AUUUAUAUAGUUUAAAAAAACAUUACAUUUUCACUGUAAAAAUAAAAAAUUUUUUUUUUAUAAAUA
rnacentral:tRNA from 1 species